rnacentral:rRNA from 1 species
CGGCAACAGCUCAAAUUUGAAAUCUGGCCUCGGCCCGAGUUGUAAUUUGCAGAGGAAGCUUUUGGCGAGGCACCGACCGAGUCCCCUGGAACGGGGCGCCGUAGAGGGUGAGAGCCCCGUAUGGUCGGACGCUGAGCCUCUGUAAAGCUCCUUCGAC